UGCUAGAAGAUGACGAGCGGCGGACGGGUGAGUAAUACUUAGGAAUCUACCUAGUAGUGGGGGAUAGCUCGGGGAAACUCGAAUUAAUACCGCAUACGACCUACGGGAGAAAGGGGGCAACUUGUUGCUCUCGCUAUUAGAUGAGCCUAAGUCGGAUUAGCUAGAUGGUGGGGUAAAGGCCUACCAUGGCGACGAUCUGUAGCUGGUCUGAGAGGAUGAUCAGCCACACCGGAACUGAGACACGGUCCGGACUCCUACGGGAGGCAGCAGUGGGGAAUAUUGGACAAUGGGGGCAACCCUGAUCCAGCCAUGCCGCGUGUGUGAAGAAGGCCUUUUGGUUGUAAAGCACUUUAAGCAGUGAAGAAGACUCAAUGGUUAAUACCCAUUGACGAUGACAUUAGCUGCAGAAUAAGCACCGGCUAACUCUGUGCCAGCAGCCGCGGUAAUACAGAGGGUGCAAGCGUUAAUCGGAAUUACUGGGCGUAAAGCGA
rnacentral:rRNA from 1 species